UGUGACCCCGGAGCCCAGACCCCUGGUUACAUCCUGACUGCCGUGUGGCCUUGAGCAAGCCUCUGCCCCUCUCUGGACCCCACAUCCCUCACCUGUGUUGACGACGAUGACAACAACCACCGUCACCUACACAGCACUUCCUGGGUCCUGUUCUGUGUGACCCUGCGCCUCUAACCUCCAGUGCACUAAGUAUCAUUACCGUCCAUUGUACAGAUGACUCAACUGAGGCACAGAGGCGUUCAGGAACCUACUCAGCAUCUGGACAGUACCCACGAUGAACAUUCCAGGCCUCUGCAGGUCCAGAGUGGAAGGUGCAGAAGUGAGAGGGCCGAGCUCCACCGGUUCGUGAUCCGUAGUGACCCUGGAACGAGGUUCUUUACCUGAGUCACCUCAUCUCGUCUUCUGGACAGCCCAUAAGCCAGCGCAGCUCCCGUGCCCACUUUGCAGACCGAGAAACCCAGGCUCUUGUGCAGCCCUUCAUGCAGUCUUAAUGAGGACCUGGUUGAGCUGGGAUUCAAACCCAAGUUAGUCUGGAGCUCCCGCUGUGGCGUAGCGGGUUAAGAAUCUGAUGGCAGUGGCUCGGGUCACGGUGGGGGCGCGGGUUCAUUUCCCGACCCCUUAACAGUGGGUUAAAGGAUCCAGCAUCGCUGCAGCUGCGGCUUGGAUUCAGUCGCUGGCCCAAGAACCUCCAUGUGCCAAGGAUGCGGCCAUAAAAAACCAAAACAGAACAAACCCCCCAAGUCUGUCUGAAUCCAGAAUCCGAGCUCUUAACAGCGCGCUCCUCCUUGCAGGGGCAGAAGUCAGGAAGUCCCUGCCACAGAGGCCCUGGAAGCAGGGCCUAGAGUGCGACGCCAGUGGACAAAGCCUGGGCUGGGGACCAGGUGACCUGGGUACAUCUCUCCUGGGCCCCACACUCACGAAUACUUCCCUGAGUUCACGGGCAAAAUGGAGAUGAUAAUAAUAGGGCCUCCUCUAUGGGGCGAUUAUCUUACAGGAACGAGUUUUCAGAAGCACGUAUCACAGUGCCUGACACAUAGUAGGUGCCCCGUCAAAGCUCGCCAUCAUUUCUGUGGAUGAGUUCACAGCAGCCUCUUAAGAGCGUGGGAGCAGCGUGCGUGAGGCGCUUUGCCGUGUGCCCCAGUCUCGGAGACUCCCCGAACUGAAA
rnacentral:lncRNA from 1 species